rnacentral:rRNA from 1 species
GUGAACCGCAAGCGCUCCGUAUAACAGUCAUGAUUUACUAGAGUGAUACACGUUUAAUACGUGGAUAACUGUGGUAAUUCUAGAGCUAAUACAUGCAUCUAAUGUCCGGCCCAGAAAUGGAAAGGACGCAACUUAUUAGGUCAAAACCAUUCGCUCGACUAGUUCGGGUGUUGUUUUGAUGAAUCUAGAUAACCAUUGUUGAUCGUACAGUCAUUGUGCUGGCGACAUCUCUUUUAAACGUCUGACUUAUCAGCUGUCGAUGGUAGACUUUGUGUCUACCAUGGCCCUCACGGGUGACGGGGAAUCAGGGUUCGAUUCCGGAGAGGGAGCCUGAGAAAUGGCUACCACAUCUAAGGAAGGCAGCAGGCACGCAAAUUACCCACUUCCAGCACGGAGAGGUAGUGACAAAAAAUAACGAUACGGGACUCUAUUGAGGCCCCGUAAUCGGAAUGAGUACACUUUAAAUCCUUUAUACAGGAUCAAUUGGAGGGCAAGUCUGGUGCCAGCAGCCGCGGUAAUUCCAGCUCCAAUAGCGUAUAUUAAAAUUGUUGCGGUUAAAAAGCUCAUAGUUGGUUCUGCUUGCAGCACUGUCGGUUCUCCGCCUGUCGGUGUUACUGGCAUGUAGCUGCAUGUCCUGUCGGUGGUAAAUGAAUUCCCGUGGUGCUUACUAAGGCUAUAGCUAGUCUAUUAGUUGAAGUCUGUGCCGUGGUGAGUGCAUUUGCCGAUUUAUCCUACCUCGGUGCUUUUAAACGAGUGUCGAGGUAGGCCGACACGAUUACUUUGAACAAAUUAGAGUGCUUAAAGCAGGCAGAAUGAUCUGUCUGAUAGUGGUGCAUGGAAUAAUAGAAUAGGACCUCGGUUCUAUUUUAUUGGUUUCAGAAUUAUGAGGAAAUGAUCAAUGUGGACUGACGGGGGCAUUCGUAUUGCGGCGUUAGAGGUGAAAUUCUUGGAUCGUCGCAAGACGCACAAAGCGAAAGCAUUUGCCAGUAUGUCUUUAAUUGAUCAGACGAAGUUAGAGUUC